rnacentral:rRNA from 1 species
AUUGAACGCUGGCGGCAGGCCUAACACAUGCAAGUCGAACGCGUGGCGGACGGGUGAGUAAUGUCUGGGAAACUGCCCGAUGGAGGGGGAUAACUAAUGGAAACGGUAGCUAAUACCGCAUACCAUCGGAUGUGCCCAGAUGGGAUUAGCUUGUAGGUGGGGUAACGGCUCACCUAGGCGACGAUCCCUAGCUGGUCUGAGCGGAUGACCAGCCACACUGGAACUGAGACGAGGGCCAGACGCCUACGGGAGGCAGCAGGGGGGAAUAUUGCACAAUGGGUGCAAGCCUGAUGCAGCCAGGCCGCGUGUAGGAAGAAGGCCUUCGGGUUGUAAAGUAAUUUCAGCGGGGAGGCGUUACCCGCAGAAGAAGCACCGGCUAACUCCGUGCCAGCAGCCGCGGUAAUUC